CCAAGAGCAGAAUAAAUAAGAUCUAUUUGCUUCUCCCACUCACUACUUUCAGAACGGAUCAGCACUUAAUUUCUGAAAAGCAUCUCUACAUCACUACAAUCAACGACAGACAUAAUGGCUUCUAUCCAAGUGAAGAUGCUUGUCUUGAUCUGCCUGCUUCAUCUGUGUAUUGAAUGCACUGAGGGGGGUGGUUUUUUUUCUAAAUUAAAGAAACCUAAAAAACUCUUCAAAGGGAAAUCCUCAAGUAAGACUGCUGUCAAGCCUGCUGCCCCACCUGCUGCUCCGCCUGCUGCCCCGCCUGCUGCCCCGCCUACUGAGCCACCUGCUGCUCCGCCUGCUGAAAGCAAUGCUGUUGCCCCAGGAGAAUAAAGCCUUAAUAAAUCCUUCAGCAAGGAGGAUGCAGAGCAUGUUUAAAAUGUCAUCACUGAUUGAAACAUAUAUGUACUCUGCACAAAGUCAUGGAACUACUGUAUUAACCCAAUCGUCCAAAUUGCUGUUUCGAUGCAACUGUUUAAUUUGAAAGUUUUUGUCAAUAAUCAAACUGCAAUAUACGUAUGUUAAAAUAAUGUUUUUUUUCACUGCAAAUCUUGCUGUCUCAAUAAAACGGGCUACUCAAAUGUG